GAUGAACGCUGGCGGCGUGCCUAAUACAUGCAAGUCGAGCGAACAGAUAAGGAGCUUGCUCCUUUGACGUUAGCGGCGGACGGGUGAGUAACACGUGGGUAACCUACCUAUAAGACUGGGAUAACUUCGGGAAACCGGAGCUAAUACCGGAUAAUAUUUCGAACCGCAUGGUUCGAUAGUGAAAGAUGGUUUUGCUAUCACUUAUAGAUGGACCCGCGCCGUAUUAGCUAGUUGGUAAGGUAACGGCUUACCAAGGCGACGAUACGUAGCCGACCUGAGAGGGUGAUCGGCCACACUGGAACUGAGACACGGUCCAGACUCCUACGGGAGGCAGCAGUAGGGAAUCUUCCGCAAAGGGCGAAGGCCUGACGGAGCAACGCCGCGUGAGUGAUGAAGGUCUUCGGAUCGUAAAACUCUGUUAUUAGGGAAGAACAUACGUGUAAGUAACUGUGCACGUCUUGACGGUACCUAAUCAGAAAGCCACGGCUAACUACGUG
rnacentral:rRNA from 1 species